rnacentral:rRNA from 1 species
UACGGAGGGGGUUAGCGUUGUUCGGAAUUACUGGGCGUAAAGCGCACGUAGGCGGAUCAGAAAGUAAGGGGUGAAAUCCCAGGGUCAACCCUGGAACUGCCUCUUAAACUCCUGGUCUUGAGUUCGAGAGAGGUGAGUGGAAUUCCGAGUGUAGAGGUGAAAUUCGUAGAUAUUCGGAGGAACACCAGUGGCGAAGGCGGCUCACUGGCUCGAUACUGACGCUGAGGUGCGAAAGUGU